AUCCAUCCAAAAAAAAUGGCGCUAAAUCAAAAAUUAUUUCCUACUCUUUUUUCCCAGUAUCCAUCAAAAAUAGCCCAUUAAACAUUUCUGUCUCAUUUUCCUCCAAAAUAGCGCUAAUUAGGGUACAGUUGAACACUCUGUCGGCCAUUGAUGGUAAUUGCUACUCUCUACUCCAUCCAUUGCUACUCCGGUGUCUGCGGUUGGCCAUUGCCUUCUGUUUCAGCUUUUUCUCCGGUGUAUUCAAACUUCUACAACUCUCAGUUCCCAGAGAUGUACAGGCUAUUAUUAUGACACUCGAGUUUAACAACAAACAAGGUGCCCUUAUGUUUCAGGUCUUCUGUCAUAUAAUGAAGCUAUUAUUGAGACAGGAAACUUCAGAGUUAUGUCUUGAUUACUAAAAGAUCCUUACCAUUCAAGCUGUGAAUUUAACAACUCAAAGGUGUGCUCGGGGAUGAAGUUAUUUAUCUAUCUAUUCACAUGUAAUAAUGGGAUGGGAUGAGUCUGGCAUGCUUUGUAGUGAUUACCAUAAGCUGAUUUUUAUUAUUGGGUGGAGUUUGAGUUCUGAAGUAUAAUUUGUAGAAUUGAGACGUCCUUACAACAUGCUUUUCUAUCAGGGAACAGUUUGCAUUCCCACCCCUUUUCCCUUUCUAAGCCUUUCUUAUGUUGAUUGUUUCUUGCAUCAUGAUGCCAAGGAACUAAGAAUCUAAGAUGUUGAUUGUCUUUGGCAUGGUUAUCUAGUGAAAGUCCAUUUUGUGGAACUUUUCUUAGACUUGGCCAUUUUUUGCUGUCUUUAGCCGUUUGCCUUUUUGUAAUACAACUAGUGUGUAGAUUAUCAGGAGCAGUUUGUCCUCCUUAGAUUCCACUUAUGGGAUUACACUAGAUAUGUUGUUGUAAUUAGUGUUUUCCUUAUUCAUAAAAGGUUUUAUUUCUUUGAUA